rnacentral:rRNA from 1 species
GAGAAGUAAAAGUCGUAACAAGGUUUCCGUAGGUGAACCUGCGGAAGGAUCAUUAUUGAAAUAAACUUGAUAAGUUGAUGCUGGCUCUCUAGGGAGCAUGUGCACACUUGUCAUCUUUGUAUCUCCACCUGUGCACUUUUUGUAGACCUUGGGUAUCUCUCUGAUUGCUUUUUUAGCACUCAGGAUUUGAGGAUUGACUUUCUGUCUCUUCUUACAUUUCCAGGUCUAUGUUUCUUCAAUUACCCUGAUGUAUGUUUAUAGAAUGUAGUCAAAUGGGCCUUUGUGCCUAUAAAUUGAUACAACUUUCAGCAACGGAUCUCUUGGCUCUCGCAUCGAUGAAGAACGCAGCGAAAUGCGAUAAGUAAUGUGAAUUGCAGAAUUCAGUGAAUCAUCGAAUCUUUGAACGCACCUUGCGCUCCUUGGUAUUCCGAGGAGCAUGCCUGUUUGAGUGUCAUUAAUAUAUCAACCUUUUAGGUUGGAUGUGGGUUUGCUGGCCACUUUUGAGGUCAACUUCCCUUAAAUGCAUUAGCGGACAACAUUUUGCCAAAUGUUCAUUGGUGUGAUAAUUAUCUACGCUUUUGACAUUUAAGCAUGGUUCAGCUUCUAACAGUCCAUUGACUUGGACAAAUUUAUUAAUGUGACCUCAAAUCAGGUAGGACUACCCGCUGAACUUAAGCAUAUCAAUAAGCGGAGGAA